rnacentral:rRNA from 1 species
GAGUAGGGCGGGACACGUGGUAUCCUGUCUGAAUAUGGGGGGACCAUCCUCCAAGGCUAAAUACUCCUGACUGACCGAUAGUGAACCAGUACCGUGAGGGAAAGGCGAAAAGAACCCCGGCGAGGGGAGUGAAAAAGAACCUGAAACCGUGUACGUACAAGCAGUGGGAGCACGCUUAGGCGUGUGACUGCGUACCUUUUGUAUAAUGGGUCAGCGACUUAUAUUCUGUAGCAAGGUUAACCGAAUAGGGGAGCCGAAGGGAAACCGAGUCUUAACUGGGCGUUAAGUUGCAGGGUAUAGACCCGAAACCCGGUGAUCUAGCCAUGGGCAGGUUGAAGGUUGGGUAACACUAACUGGAGGACCGAACCGACUAAUGUUGAAAAAUUAGCGGAUGACUUGUGGCUGGGGGUGAAAGGCCAAUCAAACCGGGAGAUAGCUGGUUCUCCCCGAAAGCUAUUUAGGUAGCGCCUCGUGAAUUCAUCUCCGGGGGUAGAGCACUGUUUCGGCAAGGGGGUCAUCCCGACUUACCAACCCGAUGCAAACUGCGAAUACCGGAGAAUGUUAUCACGGGAGACACACGGCGGGUGCUAACGUCCGUCGUGAAGAGGGAAACAACCCAGACCGCCAGCUAAGGUCCCAAAGUCAUGGUUAAGUGGGAAACGAUGUGGGAAGGCCCAGACAGCCAGGAUGUUGGCUUAGAAGCAGCCAUCAUUUAAAGAAAGCGUAAUAGCUCACUGGUCGAGUCGGCCUGCGCGGAAGAUGUAACGGGGCUAAACCAUGCACCGAAGCUGCGGCAGCGACACUAUGUGUUGUUGGGUAGGGGAGCGUUCUGUAAGCCUGUGAAGGUGUGCUGUGAGGCAUGCUGGAGGUAUCAGAAGUGCGAAUGCUGACAUAAGUAACGAUAAAGCGGGUGAAAAGCCCGCUCGCCGGAAGACCAAGGGUUCCUGUCCAACGUUAAUCGGGGCAGGGUGAGUCGACCCCUAAGGCGAGGCCGAAAGGCGUAGUCGAUGGGAAACAGGUUAAUAUUCCUGUACUUGGUGUUACUGCGAAGGGGGGACGGAGAAGGCUAUGUUGGCCGGGCGACGGUUGUCCCGGUUUAAGCGUGUAGGCUGGUUUUCCAGGCAAAUCCGGAAAAUCAAGGCUGAGGCGUGAUGACGAGGCACUACGGUGCUGAAGCAACAAAUGCCCUGCUUCCAGGAAAAGCCUCUAAGCAUCAGGUAACAUCAAAUCGUACCCCAAACCGACACAGGUGGUCAGGUAGAGAAUACCAAGGCGCUUGAGAGAACUCGGGUGAAGGAACUAGGCAAAAUGGUGCCGUAACUUCGGGAGAAGG